rnacentral:rRNA from 1 species
CCUGGCUCACGUAUGAACGCUAGCGACAGGCUUAACACAUGCAAGUCGAGGGGCAGCGGGGUGUAGCAAUACACCGCCGGCGACCGGCGCACGGGUGAGUAACGCGUAUGCAACUUACCUAUCAGAGGGGGAUAACCCGGCGAAAGUCGGACUAAUACCGCAUGAAGCAGGGGCCCCGCAUGGGGAUAUUUGCUAAAGAUUCAUCGCUGAUAGAUAGGCAUGCGUUCCAUUAGGCAGUUGGCGGGGUAACGGCCCACCAAACCGACGAUGGAUAGGGGUUCUGAGAGGAAGGUCCCCCACAUUGGUACUGAGACACGGACCAAACUCCUACGGGAGGCAGCAGUGAGGAAUAUUGGUCAAUGGGCGUAAGCCUGAACCAGCCAAGUCGCGUGAGGGAUGAAGGUUCUAUGGAUCGUAAACCUCUUUUAUAAGGGAAUAAAGUGUAGGACGUGUCUAUUUUGUAUGUACCUUAUGAAUAAGGAUCGGCUAACUCCGUGCCAGCAGCCGCGGUAAUACGGAGGAUCCGAGCGUUAUCCGGAUUUAUUGGGUUUAAAGGGUGCGUAGGCGGCCUUUUAAGUCAGCGGUGAAAGUCUGUGGCUCAACCAUAGAAUUGCCGUUGAAACUGGGAGGCUUGAGUAUGUUUGAGGCAGGCGGAAUGCGUGGUGUAGCGGUGAAAUGCUUAGAUAUCACGCAGAACCCCGAUUGCGAAGGCAGCCUGCCAAGCCAUGACUGACGCUGAUGCACGAAAGCGUGGGGAUCAAACAGGAUUAGAUACCCUGGUAGUCCACGCAGUAAACGAUGAUCACUAGCUGUUUGCGAUACACAGUAAGCGGCACAGCGAAAGCGUUAAGUGAUCCACCUGGGGAGUACGCCGGCAACGGUGAAACUCAAAGGAAUUGACGGGGGCCCGCACAAGCGGAGGAACAUGUGGUUUAAUUCGAUGAUACGCGAGGAACCUUACCCGGGUUUGAACGCAUUUCGACCGCUCUGGAAACAGAGCCUCUAGCAAUAGCGAUUUGCGAGGUGCUGCAUGGUUGUCGUCAGCUCGUGCCGUGAGGUGUCGGCUUAAGUGCCAUAACGAGCGCAACCCUUGCCACUAGUUACUAACAGGUGAUGCUGAGGACUCUGGUGGGACUGCCAGCGUAAGCUGCGAGGAAGGCGGGGAUGACGUCAAAUCAGCACGGCCCUUACAUCCGGGGCGACACACGUGUUACAAUGGCGUGGACAAAGGGAAGCCACCUGGCGACAGGGAGCGAAUCCCCAAACCACGUCUCAGUUCGGAUCGGAGUCUGCAACCCGACUCCGUGAAGCUGGAUUCGCUAGUAAUCGCGCAUCAGCCAUGGCGCGGUGAAUACGUUCCCGGGCCUUGUACACACCG